UACGUAGGGGCAAGCGUUGUCCGGAAUCAUUGGGCGUAAAGAGCGUGUAGGCGGCCCGGUAAGUCCGUUGUGAAAGUCCAGGGCUCAACCCUGGAAUGCCGAUGGAUACUGCCGGGCUAGAGUUCGGAAGAGGCGAGUGGAAUUCCUGGUGUAGCGGUGGAAUGCGCAGAUAUCAGGAGGAACACCUAUAGCGAAGGCAGCUCGCUGGGACGACACUGACGCUGAGACGCGAAAGCGUGGGGAGCGAACAGG
rnacentral:rRNA from 1 species